rnacentral:rRNA from 1 species
AGAGUUUGAUCCUGGCUCAGGAUGAACGCUGGCGGCGUGCUUAACACAUGCAAGUCGAACGAUCCUUCGGGAUAGUGGCGGACGGGUGAGUAACGCGUGGGAAUCUGCCCUUAGGAGGGGGAUAACGACUGGAAACGGUCGCUAAUACCCCAUAUGCCGAGAGGUGAAACGAAUUUCGCCUGAGGAUGAGCCCGCGUCUGAUUAGCUAGUUGGUGGGGUAAUGGCCUACCAAGGCGACGAUCAGUAGCUGGUCUGAGAGGAUGAUCAGCCACACUGGGACUGAGACACGGCCCAGACUCCUACGGGAGGCAGCAGUGGGGAAUUUUCCGCAAUGGGCGAAAGCCUGACGGAGCAACGCCGCGUGAGGGAAGAAGGCCUCUGGGCUGUAAACCUCUUUUCUCAAGGAAGAAGAUCUGACGGUACUUGAGGAAUAAGCCACGGCUAAUUCCGUGCCAGCAGCCGCGGUAAUACGGGAGUGGCAAGCGUUAUCCGGAAUUAUUGGGCGUAAAGCGUCCGCAGGCGGCCUUGUAAGUCUGUUGUUAAAGCGUGGAGCUCAACUCCAUUUCAGCAAUGGAAACUACAAGGCUGGAGUGUGGCAGGGGCAGAGGGAAUUCCCGGUGUAGCGGUGAAAUGCGUAGAUAUCGGGAAGAACACCAGUGGCGAAGGCGCUCUGCUGGGCCAUAACUGACGCUCAUGGACGAAAGCCAGGGGAGCGAAAGGGAUUAGAUACCCCUGUAGUCCUGCCGUAAACGAUGAACACUAGGUGUCGGGGGAAUCGACCCCCUCGGUGUCGUAGCCAACGCGUUAAGUGUUCCGCCUGGGGAGUACGCACGCAAGUGUGAAACUCAAAGGAAUUGACGGGGGCCCGCACAAGCGGUGGAGUAUGUGGUUUAAUUCGAUGCAACGCGAAGAACCUUACCAGGGCUUGACAUCCUGCGAACCUUUGAGAAAUCAGAGGGUGCCUUCGGGAACGCAGAGACAGGUGGUGCAUGGCUGUCGUCAGCUCGUGUCGUGAGAUGUUGGGUUAAGUCCCGCAACGAGCGCAACCCACGUUUUUAGUUGCCAGCAUUCAGUUGGGCACUCUAGAGAGACCGCCGGUGAUAAACCGGAGGAAGGUGUGGAUGACGUCAAGUCAUCAUGCCCCUUACGUCCUGGGCUACACACGUACUACAAUGCUACGGACAAAGGGCAGCAAACUCGCGAGAGCUAGCAAAUCCCAUAAACCGUGGCUCAGUUCAGAUCGUAGGCUGCAACUCGCCUACGUGAAGGAGGAAUCGCUAGUAAUCGCAGGUCAGCAUACUGCGGUGAAUACGUUCCCGGGCCUUGUACACACCGCCCGUCACACCAUGGAAGUUGGCCAUGCCCGAAGUCGUUACUCCAACCCUUGUGGAGGAGGACGCCGAAGGUGGGGCUGAUGACUGGGGUGAAGUCGUAACAAGGUA